rnacentral:rRNA from 1 species
CAGCCGCCGCGGUAAUACGUAGGGUGCGAGCGUUAAUCGGAAUUACUGGGCGUAAAGCGUGCGCAGGCGGUUUUGUAAGACAGGCGUGAAAUCCCCGGGCUCAACCUGGGAAUGGCGCUUGUGACUGCAAAGCUAGAGUGCGGCAGAGGGGGAUGGAAUUCCGCGUGUAGCAGUGAAAUGCGUAGAUAUGCGGAGGAACACCGAUGGCGAAGGCAAUCCCCUGGGCCUGCACUGACGCUCAUGCACGAAAGCGGGGGGAGCAAACAGGAUUAGAUACCCCUGUAGUCCCUGUCUCUUAUAC